CGCAAUGGGCGAAAGCCUGACGGAGCAACGCCGCGUGAGGGAUGAAGGCCUCUGGGCUGUAAACCUCUUUUCUCAAGGAUGAAGAUCUGACGGUACUUGAGGAAUAAGCCACGGCUAAUUCCGUGCCAGCAGCCGCGGUAAUACGGGAGUGGCAAGCGUUAUCCGGAAUUAUUGGGCGUAAAGCGUCCGCAGGCGGCCUUGUAAGUCUGUCGUUAAAGCGUGGAGCUUAACUCCAUUUCAGCGAUGGAGACUACAAGGCUUGAGUGUGGUAGGGGCAGAGGGAAUUCCCGGUGUAGCGGUGAAAUGCGUAGAUAUCGGGAAGAACACCAGUGGCGAAGGCGCUCUGCUGGGCCUAUACCCUGCCUGCGAACGAUGGGGA
rnacentral:rRNA from 1 species